rnacentral:pre_miRNA from 1 species
UCUUAUGGAUGAGCAAAGAAAUUGGUUUCUUAUAAUAGAAUCUACUUCUAGUGAACAUGCUUGAA